UACGUAGGGGGCUAGCGUUGUCCGGAAUCAUUGGGCGUAAAGCGCGCGUAGGCGGCCCGGUAAGUCCGCUGUGAAAGUCAAAGGCUCAACCUUUGAAUGUCAGCGGAUACUGCCGGGCUAGAGUCCGGAAGAGGCGAGUGGAACUCCUGGUGUAGCGGUGGAAUGCGCAGAUAUCAGGAGGAACACCAGCGGCGAAGGCGGCGCUCUGGGCCGGUACUGACACUGAGGAGCGAAAGCGUGGGUAGCAAACAGG
rnacentral:rRNA from 1 species